rnacentral:rRNA from 1 species
AUUGAACGCUGGCGGCAGGCCUAACACAUGCAAGUCGAACGAGUGGCGGACGGGUGAGUAAUGUCUGGGAAACUGCCCGAUGGAGGGGGAUAACUACUGGAAACGGUAGCUAAUACCGCAUACCAUCGGAUGUGCCCAGAUGGGAUUAGCUUGUAGGUGAGGUAACGGCUCACCUAGGCGACGAUCCCUAGCAGGUCUGCACGGAUGACCAGCCACACUGGAACUCAGACACGGUCCAGACUCCUAGGGUAGGCAGCAGUGGGUAAUAUUGCACAAUGGGCGCAAGCCUGAUGCAGCCAGGCCGCGUGUAGAAAGAGGGCCUUCGGGUUGUAAAGUACUUUCAGUGGGGAGGCGUUACCCGCAGAAGAAGCACCGGCUAACUCCGUGCCAGCAGCCGCGGUAAUAC